rnacentral:lncRNA from 1 species
AUGCUUUUUUGGGGUUUGGGGUUUUUGGGUUUCUUUGCGGGGUUUUGGUUAUUUUGGUGUUUUUUUGUUUGUUUGUUUUGGGGUUUUUUGGUUGUUUCUUUGGGUUUUGGGUUAUUUGGGGUCCUUUUUUGUUGUUUCUUGGGGUUUGGGGUUUAGUUGUGGGGUUUUGGGUUUCUUUGGGGCCUUUUGGUUACUUUGGUAUUUUUUUUUUACCUAUUUUUGGUUCUUUUUUUGAUUCUUUGUGUCUUUUUUUUUUGUUUUUUUUUUUUUUUUUUUCCUUUUGGGCUUUUAUUCCUUUUCUUUUUUAAUUCCUUUCGGGAUUUUUUUGGGUGGAUUUCCUCCCUUUUAGGCUUUUUAUUCCUUUGGGGCUUUAUUUUUUUGGGGCCAUUCCCUCCACUUUCAGUCCCUCCCUUUCCCCUUUUCCCCCCUUUUUCUCCCCAUUUACCCCCUUUUAAUUCACCCCCCCCAACCCCCACCCCCCCCCUCUUUCCUUUAACCAAAUUUCCCCGUUUUUUUACCGUUUCCCCCUAAUUUCGUUUUUCCCGUCCCGGCCUUUCCCUUGGGGGAUUUUUUUCGUUUUUUUUUCCUUUUUUUGGCCUUUUUCCUCCCCCCUCCCCCCCCCGGGGGCGUUGGGGUGCUCCUGGGCCCCCCCGGGAUUAGUAGGGGCGCGGGGAGGUUAGUGGGGGCCGGGGGGGCCGGCCGAAGCGGGGUUAGUGGCGCGCACACAACACGGGGGGGGCGCACGGGGAGGGGGCGCACGGGGGGGGGCCGAGACCCCCCCCCCCCCCCCCCCCCAGCUCCCAGUGCUCCCAGUUAGGCUCCCAGUAAGGAGCAUGCCCGGCUCCCAGUGAUCCCAGUGCUCCCAGUAAGGAGCAGACCCUGCUCCCAGUGCUCCCAGUUGGGAGAGAACCCAACUCCCAGUGCUCCCAGUUGGGAGAAACCCAGUUCCCAGUGCUCCCAGUUGGGAGAGACCCAGCUCCCAGUGCUCCCAGUAAGGAGCAGACCCAGUUCCCAGUGCUCCCAGUUGGGAGAGACCCGGCUCCCAGUGCUCCCAGUUGGGAGAAACCCACUUCCCAGUGUUCCCAGUUGGGAGAGACCCAGCUCCCAGUUGGGAGAAGCCAGUUCCCAGUGCUCCCAGUGCUCCCAGUUGGGAGAGACCCAGUUCCCAGUUGGGAGAAGCCAGUUCCCAGUGCUCCCAGUGCUCCCAGUUGGGAGAAACCCAGCUCCCAGUGCUCCCAGUUGGGAGAAUCCAGCUCCCAGUGCUCCCAGUUGGGCUCCCAGUAAGGAGCAGACCCACCUCCCAGUGCUCCCAGUGUCCCCAGCUGGGAUCAAACCCAGCUCCCAGUGCUCCCAGUUGGGAGAAUCCAGAUCCCAGUGCUCCCAGCUGGGAGUAGACCCAGCUUCCAGUGCUCCCAGUGCUCCCAGUUCAGAGCAGACGCAGCUCCCAGUUGGGAGAACCCGGCUCCCAGUGCUCCCAGUUGGGAGAAUCCAGAUCCCAGUGCUUCCAGUACGGAGCAGACCCAGCUCCCGGUGCUCCCCGGUGGGAGAUUCCAGCCCCCAGUACUCCCAGUUGAAACCAGACCCAGCUUCCAGUGCUCCCAGUCCCCCCAGUAAGAAGCAG